GGGGAUGGAGCCUCAGAGGUUUGUGUGUUGACCCCCUGCCCUGGGUCUCUCACACGGUUAUAACCCACUCCGGGUGUGACUUAGGUGGCCCGUGUUCCCUACAGAGGUAUCGAGCCGAGGUAGCCCCCCUCUGAUGUAGGAGAGGAAGAAGAUUGUUUUCCCGUCUAUCCUCCUAGGUCCUUCAGCUGGUACCCUGCAAAGUGGACUGACAAAAGACAGAUGAACAAGGGAAAAACAAGCAGAAGUUUAUCAACAUAUCCAUAGCACAUACACAUGGGAGAACUCAGUGAUCAGUUGGUGGACAAGGAUGGUUAGAACUUAGAAUCUCAACAAUGCUUUACAGAUGAGGAAACUGAGGUUCAAGGAAGAGAAGGAGUGGGCCGGCCUCUCAGUGCUCAAGCCAGAUCUCUGCACCUCAGUUUUUGUUUUGUUUUGUUUUGUUUUGGUAUCAGGAGUGGGAUUGCACCUUGUUUUUGAUGCACCCUUUCUCUCCCUCACCUCCCUCUCUGGUGCAAUACCCUGACCUUUCACAUUUUUAAAAUUUGUUUUCAGCCCUAGUACAUUUCUCCAUCCUGCUGCCACCACCCGGUCCAGGCCCCGCUGUCAUCACGGACUUGGAUGACUGCAGUUCUCUCCCCUCUGGUCCCCUGGGCUCCCUCGCCCUUUUCUACCUGCACAAAACUUUUAGUCCCCUGGGCUUUGGUUCUGGGUGACCUGGGCUCCCUGACCCUGAUGGGUCCACUGGGGUACUGCAUGAAGGCUCCUCCAGCAGGCAGAGAGUUUGGCUGGAUCCAGAGGAGCACACCAGUUGCCUGGAUCCUGGCACCAUCCUCUCUGAGUGACCUGCCAGCCCCAGACCCUCCUUGAAACCGCAGUUUCUGACACAUGAGGAAUGAUGCUCUCUGAGGCCCUGAGCCAGGCCCGCAUGCUGAAGGGCUCUUCCUUUCCCUUCCUGGAUCAAUGCUCCUUCAGUGCUGAGGCCUGGGACUGUUCUUAUUCCCUAGUGAGGCCCGGUGCAGAAAGUGAGCUGGAGCUUGGAGACCACAGCUCUGGGCCAGGGCAGGGCCCGAGGGUGUGUACUGUACAACCCCAGGGUGCCACUCACAACCUACUCAACCGUGCACAGCAAUGGCAACCGCUGAGGCCUCUUGCCUUUCCUUGCUGCCUGCGGGCUCCGCGGGGGAGGGAUCCAUAGCGUGUGUGGAAAGUGUGGUUUAGGAUGCCCGGGGCCCAGAUGGGAGCUGCUCCUGCAGACACCGACGUUUUUUUGUGAACCUACUGGCUAUCUGGAAAGUGUCUGAAAGGGUGGUGCGGCCUCAUUCCAACACACACGCACAUAACCACAUACAGACCCACGCAUACACAUGCACACACACCUAAAAUGUACACAAGCACAUACACGCACUAAACACACACACAACAGUGUACGUCGUAUUACACAGUAGUGCAAAAGAGCAGCCCCUGAUGCGUGCACCAACGUGAAGGGGCCUCACGGUCACAAAUGGAGACUUGCUCGAGUUCUAGGAUAGACAUGAGUCUGUGGGGAUAGAAGUCAGGCUAGCGGUUGCCUGUGGGAGCAGGUGGGCCAGUAACUGAGUGUUGGGGGCAGAACUUGGCAGAUUUGGGCUCAGAGAACAGGCCGCACCUGGAUCUGGAGGGUCGGCCCGACGAGGAGAGGUUUUGGGUCCAUGUGUCCUGCCCAGCAAAGAGCAGGUUUUUAUCAAUAUAUGCAUUGCACACACACACACGGGACGACUCAGCGAGGAAAAACGACAGAUAUAUAUGUAUAUAGAUAGACAGACAGAAAAAGCAGACACAGAGACAGAUAGAUAAAGUGACAGAACAAAAAACAUACAGCCUGAUAGAUGGACAAAGAGAUAGACUCAGCAGGGAGGACACAUAAACAGAUAUAUUAACAAAAAGACAGACAGAAAGACAGAUGGACAGCACAUAGAGAAAGACAGGCAGGAAUAUGGAUCGAGAGGCACAGGUGGACUAACAGACAAGUGAGGCGGACAGACAGUAAAAGAGACGGACAGGUAGACAUGUACACACACAUCUGUACAUAGAGUCAUACACACGCAGAUGUAGAUGCAGAGAGAGAGGCACAGCCAGUGGAACAGAGGGGCAGACAGCAUUUUUUUCUCUCUUUUUUUUUUCCUGCCUUUGAAUGGAGUUCCUCUACUGGGGCCUCUGGGGACGAGGUGCCGUGUGGGGCACGGGGCCGAGAAAGCCACUCCCACGAGAGGCGGCGCCAUCACGAGCUCACCGUCGACUCGGAGCCCUGGGCUCUGGGUGAAACGUUUUGACGACUUCGAAUGAUGUGGAAGGCGAAACAAUGUAGAUCUGACAUCUCGUGUGGGAUCAGGAUGCUUUCUGCUCUUUGAAUAUUUGACUAAGGAGAUACAUCGAGAAUUGUCAUGUUUUUAUUUUAUUUGUGCUUGUUUUGUGUUUAAGAGGCAACAUCCAGAAAAAUUCUAACCUGCAGCCUUUUUCCUGGAAUGUAUCUACUGGAACCAGCAGAGGGCAGGAAGUCAUUAGUCACUAGAUGGUGUUGCUUGGUCUGUGGACAGUAAACUCAAGGUUUUCUUGUGUCUUUGCUUCCUGAGCACUUGGUUAAUUAACUCCAGGACCUGCGCACACCCAUCCACCCUUAAUGAACGCGCCGAGUCGUCAGUAUUUAUAGCACUCAGAGUCUGUGCUCUUUCUCAGCAGCGAGAUAUCAGAGGACACAGCUGUUCUUCAAAGCAGGGUGGAAAAUCAACGAAUAUCCACUCAGUAUUAACUUUAUGGAUGGUCCAAUGGGGUUAUAUUGGCUAGAAUAAAUAACAACCCAGAAUGAAUAUCCUACCGAGAUGACCAACUUUGAGCUUAUUCUUUUUCCUUUAUAUGGCAUUAUUUACUAAAUUCUGCAUUCACAGAAAUAAGUUGGCUGUUCAGAAAGAACGACUUUUGGAAGAUAAGGAAUCAAAAUGUGUCUGAGCUCGUGACAAUUGACGACCCCCCAGCAAUGUGGUCUCUUCAUCCAGUUGCUGGCAACAGUUAGAUAUGUACUCAUCAGUAUUUACAGGUGACCCCUCACUCCUCCACCGCCCCCCCCACCACCCCGUCAUCUCUAAUGUAAUUUGCAAUUAUAAAUGCAUCCUUAAGUUUUUACGACUUCGGAAUAAGUAGGGAUAGGCUGAUCUUAUCAUACGAAGAAGAUCAAGCAUGUUUCUCUUUGAACACGGAAAUUACGAAACAGAAGUAUUCCCAUUAAAAUUAGCUUAGAGUCAAUAAAGUCUGCUGGAAUACUGAUGAAUGUGAAGAGUUAGGAAACAAACAGGAGGACUCAAGCUACAACAACGAGCAGACAAUACGGUGCUUCAGGUAAAGGAAGGCCCUCUGUGCCCUCUUAAUGAACCUCACCCCGUCCCAAAGCUAGCCACAUUUAUCUUCUCUACUGGGCUUUGCCAGUUUCUGGACCUCCAGGCAAUGCAAACACACAUUAGGUACUUUUUUGUAUCUAGCUUUUCCACUCAAGGUUACGUCUGUGAAACUCAUCCAUAUUAUUUCAUGCAGCAAUCAUUCAUUUCAUCAUUGCUAUGCACUAUUGUUUGAAUAUAUCAAAAUAUACGGAUCUGUUGGAUUACCGGCGUAAAAUUUUUAAUUGUCUAGUUUUUCUAGCUUCCGCGUACUUGCACGUCUUUUCGUGGACAUAAGCCAUAAUCUCUGUCGGGCUGUGUCAGAGGGGUUAUGUACGUAUGCUCAGCUGUAUAGAUACUGCCAAGCAGUUUUCCAGAGUUGUUGUACUAAUUUACACUCCCAUCAGCAGUGCUUAUCUUGCCAGUUUUAAAAUAUUUUCUUUAGUCUGUUUAAUUUUAGUCAUUCUGAUGUGUGUGCUGUAUAUGACAUAUUCAUCUGAAUUUCCUGACCGGUAAUGUUGUAGAAUUGGCUGUCCGAGGCUUCUUAGCCGUUUGGAUAUCAUCUUUUCUGAAGGGCUUGUUCAAACUUUUGGUUAUUUUUAAUUGGGCCCUCUUUAAAGAGAAAAUUGAUUUGUAGCAGUUCUUGAGACGUUCUGGGUGUGAAUCCUCUAUGGGAUAAAUGCAUUGCAGAUACAUCUCUCCCUUUUGUGUCUAUUGUUUCUACCUAAAGUUCUUAAUCUUAACAAAGUCCAAUUUAGCAAUCUUGUACUUUAUGGUUAUUGCAUUUUUUGGGCCCCAUUUGAGAACGCUUUUCUGACACCCAAUUCACAGAUGCUGUAACAGAGAGAAGACGCACUCCUGUGUUUUCUUCGAGAACCUCUGUAAUCCCACCUUUCGCCCGGGCAGGACCUUCUCCAAGGUCUGCGUCCCGGCUCCGAGUAGCCCUCUGCCUAUCCAGCCACGGAGGUCUCAGCGCAGCCAGGUGAACUGUCUGCAUUCCCUCUGAAGCCCCAGAUCCCUACCCGACAUCCUCUAUGGUCUUUAGCUGAAGAUGGUAUUUAAGGUGAAGGUUUGGCCAUUGGCGAGUUACUCAGUUUCCCUGGGUCUCUCCCAUGUAUACAUGUUAUUAAACUUUGUUUGAUUUUCUCUUGUUAAUCUACCUCAUGUCAAUUUAAUUCUCAUACCAACCGGAAGAAUCUGGAAGGGUAAAGGAAAAUCUUCCUCCUGGACAGCUAUUUCAUUAUAUAUAUAUAUAUAUAUAUAUAUAUAUAUAUAUAUAUAUAUAUAUGUAUAUCUACAUAUCUCACAUUUUCUUUAUCCACUCAUCCAUCGACGGACAUGGGUUGUUUCCAUAUCUCGGCUUUUACGAGCAACGCGGCCAUGAACACGGGGCACAGAUAUCUCUUUGAGAUACCGAUUUCAUUUCCUUUGGAUAUAUACCCAGAAGUGGGAUUGCUGGGUCAUACGGUAGGUCUAUUUCUAAUUUUUUAAGGUACCUUCCUACUGUUUUCCACAGUGGCUUCGGCGGUUUACACUUCCACCAGCAGUGCACAGGAGUUCCCUUUUCUCCCAAGUGAGUGUUUUCAAUCUGGGGAGAUCAUCAGUGAUGCCUCCACAGAAGCUUCCUGCUGGUUCCUUCUGGGUCUGAGCACCAGACUUCCCAGCACCGCUGCCUUGGCAGAGGCCUGUGGGCAAGAGGGAGCUUGUUCCGCAGAGAGGAGCAAAGGCUUUGGGGCUGAGGUGCAGGACCCGUGUGGGGAGGGCCGGGGAGGCAUCACCACCUUCAGCUGAAGCUCCUCGAAGGGCCCUGGAGGGUGCACGCACGGCCUGGUGCUGUCCCGAGGGCCACAUCUGAAGGGUCUGCCUUGAGGGCUUGACUCCAUGCGGGUGGCUGGGGUCUCAGUGAAGUCUUGGGGGCGCCGGCAUCCACUGCAGCCCGCUGGGAGAGCAGCCCCAUGUCCCCCCCUGCCCUGGGCCUAGCUCCUCCGUGCUGGUGGACACCCACCCUGGUCCCAGAUGCACACCUACCCUGAGAACACCUGCUUCACAUGCUUUCAAACUGGAAAACAUCUGAUUUGGACUUUCCUGGAAAUAAGUUGGCAAGUCAUGCUGUGUGUCUCUUGCUGCAUCCAGAGAGAUGGUUGUAUCCAUGCUCUAGCACGUGAGUAGAUACGCAUGUGUAGAACAUUGCUUCCGGCUGUCACCUGCUAAUAAUUGAUGUCUAGUAAAUGCUAGCUUUUUAUUAAGUGGCUACAAUGCACGUGAGUCGAUCUUUAGGAUAAUGAACGUGACAGGUGUUGUAUGUUCUUUAUCAAGACACUUUGCAAUGCCUUUUAAAAUAAAUGUGUUAAGUUCUGUAAUUAAUUUACCUAGACCUCGUUAGCGGGCUGACGUUUUCAGUCAAUAGAGAGCAGUGAGAUGUGUCAGAUCCCUUACUCGGACCCCGCUUAGGAGCAGCUCCGUUAACUCAACCGUUCUUUAUUGAGCACCUACUGUGUGGCAGCUUCUGUGUUUGGCUCUGGCCCUGGUUAGCUCCUGUUUAAUAGAUGCUUAGAUCUGCGGCUGGAGGACAAAGGCCAAGUGGUCUUGGGGAUGUUGAGCCCAUGAAUGAGUUCUUUUGUCUCCUACACUACCUUCCUGUGUUCACUGCUUUCAGGAAGCACAUCUAGGUUUGGGGGGAGAUGGGCGCUCUCCAUGGAAACCUGGCCCCUACUUGAGGUCACCGUUGCCUGCCAUCAGAGCCCCUGGCCCGUCCCCAGACUUGGUCCACCAUUGUCAUGUAACUUGUCUUGCACGUGCAGAGCCAGGCACCUAUUCACAUCUCUUCUACAGUCUUUGUGUUCUUCUCAUCUCAGUAGCACCGUGACGUGAGCACCCUCUCUUGGUGUGCAAAGGUUCCAGAGCGUUCCUUUAUUAGUGCCAUGCUGCUGGAUAUUCCAUUUUUUAAGCUAUAACAAAUAACAUUAACCUUCUAAAAAAUACAUUCGAGUAGUAUUCGGGAUGAAGAUAUCAUCUUAAUAGGUAUCAAAUUGCUUCACCUGAUUUUGCUUAUCUUUUCCAAAUGAAGGGUCCGUCGUGUGGGCUCCUCUCUUUGUGGAAGGGCUCACGGCCAGUGCAGGCAGGGAGGUGGGAUGCCCUGCCCUCAGGGAGCGUGCAGGGUUGGAGGCGUCGGCUCCCGCUCUGACUCAGACACGAGGCCCCAGUGGCAUCUGUCCCUCACGGUUGUGAACCUCAGGAGAUGGUCACCUGGCGUACAGGUGUGCAGCCUCCCUGAGAUCAGACAUUUUGUCUAAUGAGACAAACAAGGGUAAGGAACAGCAGGCACUCGCGUACGUGCACGUGACCAGCUGACGCCCGUGUGCAGCUGACCCAGACACCCAGGAAGCCCUAAGGAGCCACACCGCAUCAAAGAGCCCAGCAGACAGGGCAGGUGGUGUCAGGGCUGCUUCCUUGGGCCCAAGAGCCGUUCUUGCGCUAUUGUUCAGUGAGCUGUGGCCUGAUCUUGCAGACAUGCGUGCCGUGGCCCCCGGUGGGCAAAGGAUUUCCCCGGCUCUGUGCCAGGUGCUUGGCCGCCGUGACUCAAGCUGGUGUCCUUCUCCCUGUCCGAGGAACAAGAGCAUCAGUGGUCUCUGCAAACUGCAGCCCAGGUCUCCAGGUCUCCGGGGGCUGCAGCAGAGACGAGGCCUCCAGCGCAGCGCUUUCGCGGGGUCCGCUCCUCGGCAACCUUUGCGCGCUGCGGAAAUGGGCCUGACGUUAGCUAAUUCAGCCUCAUCUCACGCUAAUAAGAUCCCAUUGGGUUCUAUCAUAUUAUUGCAUUAGUCGGCAGCAAAUCAAAGUAGAUAUUUUUGAAAAUCUGAGUUGGCGGAGAAGGCUGCCCCCACAAGUACGUUUUCCAGAAAAUAAAGCCAUGGCUUAUGUUACAGCGACUCACAGCCCAGUGACUUGGCUUGUAGCUGAGAACCUCCUAUAAACUCCCCUCCGUGGCUCGAGUCACACUUCCUGCUGCUGCCAGGUGGCGAUCCACCCUCGGGGCUGGCCUCCGUCCAUGGCACGUACACGGCCUGACCACAGCCAGACGGGUCACUGGCACGGAGCUAACAAUCUCUGAGCCCAGAUGUAAUUUCUAAGGGGAUCCAGCCCGCAGAGCAGGGCUACCUGGGUGUGUGGCUCUGACACAAAGAGACACCCGUGGUGCUGAAAUGACCCCCUCGGCCUCCCGCUACCCCGCCUCCUCCUGUCAUAAACGGAUGACUAGGAAGUCCAGUUCUAGGUGAGUGAGUGGGUAUUAACCCCGGGAGGUGGAGGGCAGCAAACUGCCCCAGGUCCGGCUUCUCCCCGCUCUGGCCUGUCCCUGGCAACAUCAAGCCAUCUUUGGCCCCAAUCUUCUGCUUCAGGACCAGGGGGAAGGAAACCACUUGAAAAGGCCAAUCUCACGGAAUCAGCAUUUCUUUCCAAGCCUCCAAGUCAUGUCUGAGAAAGGAAAGAUCAACUACAAGGCCAAGGAGGAGCUCUCAGCUAGUGCUUCUCGCCAGCCCUGGCUGGUGCUGCAGGGGUCCAGAUGCUGAAACCCCCACUGAAUGGAAGAAGAAGUUAACUACCGAGGACCAUGAGCACGUAGCCCCCAGACCUCCUGGAGUCUGAGAAUCGAUAGCGUUCACGCCUGUGACCCUGCCCUGUGACCUCGUCAUCAGCCAAUCAGAACUGUGCACAAGCUGAUCCCAUACCCUGUGACUCCCCUCCCUCACCUGGCCUUUAAAAAUACCUCCCUGGGACUUUCCUGGUGGCGCAGUGGUUAAGAGUCCGCCUGCUAAUGCAGGGGACACGGGUUCGAGUCCUGAGCCGGGAAGAUCCCACAUGACGCAGAGCAACGAAGCCCGUGCGCCACAACUGCUGAGCCUGCGCUCUAGAGCCCGCGAGCCACAACUACUGAGCCCACGCGCCACAACUAGUGAAGCCCGUGCACCUGGAGCCGGUGCUCCGCGAUGAGAGAAGCCACCGCAAUGAGAAGCUCACACAACAAAACGAAGAGUAGCCCCGGCUCACGGUAACUAGAGAAAGCCCGUGCGCAGCAAUGAAGACCCAACGCAGCCAAUAAAUAAAUAAAUAAAUGUAUAAAAACGUAAAAAUGUUAAAAAAAUUUUUAAAAAGUAAAAAUGCCUCCCUGAAACCCAUUGGGGAGUUCCGGUGUUUUGAGCGUUAGCUGCUUUGGCCUCCUUAUCUGCUGCCUUACAGUAAACACUGCAGGUUCCUUCACCACAACCCGGUGUCACUAGAUUGGCUUUAUUCUUGCACGGGUGAGCGGACACAAGUUUGGUUCGGUAACAGGAGGACAGCUGCUCCCAAGGGUCUAGGGCG